rnacentral:rRNA from 1 species
AACCAGACUCCUACGGGAGGCAGCAGUGGGGAAUAUUGCACAAUGGGGGAAACCCUGAUGCAGCGACGCCGCGUGAGUGAAGAAGUAUUUCGGUAUGUAAAGCUCUAUCAGCAGGGAAGAAAAUGACGGUACCUGACUAAGAAGCCCCGGCUAACUACGUGCCAGCAGCCGCGGUAAUACGUAGGGGGCAAGCGUUAUCCGGAUUUACUGGGUGUAAAGGGAGCGUAGACGGUGAUGCAAGUCAGAAGUGAAAGCCCGGGGCUCAACUCCGGGACUGCUUUUGAAACUGAGUAGCUAGAGUGCAGGAGAGGUAAGCGGAAUUCCUAGUGUAGCGGUGAAAUGCGUAGAUAUUAGGAGGAACACCAGUGGCGAAGGCGGCUUACUGGACUGUAACUGACGUUGAGGCUCGAAAGCGUGGGGAGCAAACAGGAUUAGAUACCCGGGUAGC